UGAACUAUGAUAUGUAUAGGUUAUAUUCACCAUCACCAUCACUUUUGAUAAGCUAUCAUAUGCAUAGUUCAGGUUCACUAAUCCCUAUUACUCCCCGGUGAACUAUGAUAUGUAUAGGUUAUAUUCACCAUCACCAUCACUUUUGAUAAGCUAUCAUAUGCAUAGUUCAGGUUCACUAAUCCCUAUUACUCCCCGGUGAACUAUGAUAUGUAUAGGUUAUAUUCACAUUAAAUUUUCGCAUUGUUAGACUUCAACUAUAAUCGUUGAGCGUAUAUGCUUGAGUCAUACAAGAAUUUAGUCUGGAUUGGCUUAGAAUUGGUGGUGCCCGCCUCAUCUCCUGUUCCUCGUUGGGUUGUGGACCUAGGGCAGACCCACUAUAUUCAACGUUUUAUCUAACUUAAAUCUUAUAUAACUUAUAUACGCUGGACGAUUAUAGGGGAAAUCUACGGGUCAAUCUAGGGUUCAUCAACACAUCAUAUAGGAAUAUUCUGUUUACACUUAACUAAGAAAAUAUUGGAUUUUCUGGAGAUCAAACUCUAUCGAUUUUAAAAAGGAAAACGGUUUCUACUCCAAACAAAACUCUUAUGAACUCACCAACUUAAUUGUUGACACUCUCUUUCAAAACUACUUGUAUUCUCAGGAAAUCAGUGAGACAGGAAAACUUCAGCGCUUUGAGGAUGGGACGUUAAACCGUCAACAAUUUAUUUUUGUCAUCAUAUUGUAAUUGAUUUUGAAACAUGUAAACAUAUAUUUUGGUGUAACUUUUUCAAUUAUAUUUAUGAUGGUUGUAUUUACUUUGAGCACUAUUAUACACGUUGUUGUGAUACUGUACAUGAAGUCCUCCACCCCUGGACGUUUCCGCCAUCCUUGGUUUGGGGGUGUGACAGUUUAUGUUAAU
rnacentral:lncRNA from 1 species